rnacentral:rRNA from 1 species
UCUGGCUUAUGGAGGGGGAUAACCAUUGGAAACGGUGGCUAAUACCGCAUGAUGUCGCAAGACCAAAGUGGGGGACCUUARGGCCUCACGCCAUGAGAUGAACCCAGAUGAGAUUAGCUAGUAGGUGCGGUAAUGGCGUACCUAGGCGACGAUCUCUAGCUGGUCUGAGAGGAUGACCAGCCACACUGGAACUGAGAGACGGUCCAGACUCCUACGGGAGGCAGCAGUGGGGAAUAUUGCACAAUGGGCGGAAGCCUGAUGCAGCCAUGCCGCGUGUGUGAAGAAGGCCUUAGGGUUGUAAAGCACUUUCAGCGGGGAGGAAGGCGGUAAGAGUAAUAUGCUUAUCRAUUGACGUUACCCGCAAAAGAAGCACCGGCUAACUCCGUGCCAGCAGCCGCGGUAAUACGGAGGGUGCGAGCGUUAAUCGGAAUAACUGGGCGUAAAGRGCAUGUAGGCGGUAAGUUAAGUCAGAUGUGAAAUCCCCGAGCUUAACUUGGGAACGGCAUUUGAGACUGGCUGGCUAGAGUUUUGUAGAGGGGGGUAGAAUUCCAGGUGUAGCGGUGAAAUGCGUAGAGAUCUGGAGGAAUACCGGUGGCGAAGGCGGCCCCCUGGACAAGGACUGACGCUGAGGUGCGAAAGCGUGGGUAGCAAACAGGAUUAGAUACCCUGGUAGUCCACGCUGUAAACGAUGUCGAUUUGGAGGUUGUGACCUAGUGUUAUGG